rnacentral:rRNA from 1 species
UACGUAGGGUGCAAGCGUUGUCCGGAAUUAUUGGGCGUAAAGAGCUCGUAGGCGGUUUGUCGCGUCGGCUGUGAAAACCUGGGGCUCAACCCCGGGCCUGCAGCCGAUACGGGCAAACUAGAAUUCGGUAGGGGAGACUGGAAUUCCUGGUGUAGCGGUGAAAUGCGCAGAUAUCAGGAGGAACACCGGUGGCGAAGGCGGGUCUCUGGGCCGAUAUUGACGCUGAGGCACGAAGGUCAGGGGAGCAAACGGG